AGGACGUCUACGAGUUUGAUCCUGGCUCAGAACGAACGCUGGCGGCAGGCCUAACACAUGCAAGUCGAGCGAACCCUUCGGGGUUAGCGGCGGACGGGUUAGUAACGCGUGGGAAUAUACCCUUUGGUACGGAAUAGCCUCGGGAAACUGAGAGUAAUACCGUAUGUGCCCUUCGGGGGAAAGAUUUAUCGCCAAAGGAUUAGCCCGCGUUGGAUUAGAUAGUUGGUGGGGUAAUGGCCUACCAAGUCUACGAUCCAUAGCUGGUUUGAGAGGAUGAUCAGCAACACUGGGACUGAGACACGGCCCAGACUCCUACGGGAGGCAGCAGUGGGGAAUCUUAGACAAUGGGCGCAAGCCUGAUCUAGCCAUGCCGCGUGGACGAUGAAGGCCUUAGGGUUGUAAAGUCCUUUCAGAUGGGAAGAUAAUGACGGUACCAUCAGAAGAAGCCCCGGCUAACUCCGCG
rnacentral:rRNA from 1 species